GUGCCAGCAGCCGCGGUAAGACGAACCGUGCGAACGUUGUUCGGAAUCACUGGGCUUAAAGGGCGCGUAGGCGGUUUGCCAAGUCAGGGGUGAAAUCUUGCAGCUCAACUGCAAAAGUGCCUUUGAUACUGGUGAACUCGAGGGAGGUAGGGGUCGCUGGAACUUCUGGUGGAGCGGUGAAAUGCGUUGAUAUCAGAAGGAACGCCGGUGGCGAAAGCGAGCGACUGGAUCUCUACUGACGCUGAGGCGCGAAAGCCAGGGGAGCAAACGGGAUUAGAAACCCUGGUAGUCC
rnacentral:rRNA from 1 species